rnacentral:lncRNA from 1 species
CCUGCUGGCUGCUGGCGCCGCCCCAUCCUCCUCCACUUGUAUGGACGCACAACUCCACGGUCCUCAACGACACCACAGCGAGAGGUGGUUUAAGUCUCUUCAUGAGCCAUGAAGGCGCCAGAGCCAGCACUCGGCUGUCCCUGCAGCGCGUCGAUGCCAGGGACGCUGGAAACUACACGUGUCAUCCACGCGACCUGCCAGCUGCUUCUGUCACCGUCUAUGUCUUGCAUGAGAAGGAGCCCGCCGCAAUGCAUUACGACGCGAGCACCAGCCUUCACCAGACCAGUGCGCCUGUAUUGCUUCUACUGCUGCUCACCGCUCCU